rnacentral:misc_RNA from 1 species
AACGCACGAGACCUGCGGACCUGCGGAAGGAUCAUUACCGAGUUUACAACUCCCAAACCCAAUGUGAACCAUACCAAACUGUUGCCUCGGCGGGGUCACGCCCCGGGUGCGUCGCAGCCCCGGAACCAGGCGCCCGCCGGAGGGACCAACCAAACUCUUUCUGUAGUCCCCUCGCGGACGUUAUUUCUUACAGCUCUGAGCAAAAAUUCAAAAUGAAUCAAAACUUUCAACAACGGAUCU